GUCAUGGUCAAUGAUUAGCUGUGCAGGUGAGAUGGUUUUAUCAUUAAAAUUUUCCAGAAGACAAGCAACCGUUUUGCAAGCUAGACAUCUGACCAGUUGAGAAUCUGCCCUCAAACCAAGUUGCACAAAAGACAUAUACUGUGGGAUAAGAGAUGCACCAUAUUUUGUCUUAAAGAUUCUUUCUAGACAAGCAACCAAAGUAUUCUCCAAACCAGGCACACCUGCUUUUGUUUGUAAAGCACUGAUAACGACAGGAAGGGGAAAACGAUCAAGAAAAUCCUUUGCUGCGGCGUCGCUUUGAACACCUGGAUAAUAAGCAAACUCAGAAGCGGAAUCGAGUAAAGGAGUAGGAUCCUCCAUUGCGUAUUCUUCGUCCAUAGCUUUGCCUUGCUCUUCCCUUUU
rnacentral:misc_RNA from 1 species